GCCUAGGGCAUCUGGUAUUCCAAGGUGGUCUCCCAUCCCAGGACUAAGCAGCCUUGACCCCUGCUUAGCUUCUGAAAUCAGGUAUCAGAGUGCUGUGGAAGCAUCCUGGAUUAGAUGAACCAAAAUUCCAGAGAGGAGAGAAUAUAUCAGAGAUGAGAAAUUGGGGUUUUUCAGAUGUGAUUCCGUUGUCCAAGGACAAGACAAAGGCAACGGGCAGAAAAGUGUACAGCCAUUUCUGUCACACUGAGAAUCAAGCCUGGAUUGCCUCCAGUGAGAAGAU